AGAACGAACGCUGGCGGCAGGCCUCAAACAUGCAAGUCUAGGGGGCGUAGCAAUACGUCACCGGCGGACGGGUGCGUAACACGUGGGAAUGUACUUAUUGGUUCGGAACAACUCAGGGAAACUUGAGCUAAUACCGAAUGUGCCCGAAAGGGGAAAGAUUUAUCGCCAGUAAAUCAGCCCGCGUCCGAUUAGCUAGUUGGUGGGGUAAAGGCUCACCAAGGCAACGAUCGGUAGCUGUUCUGAGAGGAAGAUCAGCCACACUGGGACUGAGACACGGCCCAGACUCCUACGGGAGGCAGCAGUUGGGAAUCUUGGACAUGGGGGAAACCCUGAUCCAGCCAUGCCGCGUGAGUGAUGAAGGCCUUCGGGUUGUAAACUCUUUCGACGGGGACGAUAAUGACGGUACCCGUAGAAGAAGCUCCGGCUAACUUCGUGCCAGCAGCCGC
rnacentral:rRNA from 1 species